GAUGAACGCUGGCGGCGUGCCUAAUACAUGCAAGUCGAGCGAACAGACGAGGAGCUUGCUCCUCUGACGUUAGCGGCGGACGGGUGAGUAACACGUGAAUAACCUACCUAUAAGACUGGGAUAACUUCGGGAAACCGGAGCUAAUACCGGAUAAUAUAUUGAACCGCAUGGUUCAAUAGUGAAAGACGGUUUUGCUGUCACUUAUAGAUGGAUCCGCGCCGCAUUAGCUAGUUGGUAAGGUAACGGCUUACCAAGGCAACGAUGCGUAGCCGACCUGAGAGGGUGAUCGGCCACACUGGAACUGAGACAUGGUCCAGACUCCUACGGGAGGCAGCAGUAGGGAAUCUUCCGCAAUGGGCGAAAGCCUGGCGGAGCAACGCCGCGUGAGUGAUGAAGGUCUUCGGAUCGUAAAACUCUGUUAUUAGGGAAGAACAAAUGUGUAAGUAACUAUGCACGUCUUGACGGUACCUAAUCAGAAAGCCACGGCUAACUACGUGCCAGCCGCCGCCGUAA
rnacentral:rRNA from 1 species